GCGUGGUGCUCUUAUUCACUGUGAAUUCUUCAGCUACAGGAGACACAGCAGGCCUAUUGUCCAAGAAGUGAACGAAAGGUGCUCAUCGACACUACUGGGACAUUAUUUUAUGCUGAAAUUUGGCUGAGGAUUCCUGUGAACACAGAGAACUUCACCAAGUACCCAUCAUUCUCCCGUGCUGAAGGUGCAAGUUAAACCCACACUGUCAGCCACCAGCGUUCAGAACUCCUUAGCUUGGCAGAUACUUCUGAAAGUCCAAAUGAGAAUUUUUUAACAUCAGUAAGAACCGGUCUGUGUGGUAGAGUCAAAAUAAGAGCUAAACCUAGACUGGGAAGGGAGCCCUAGAUUGGCUGGCGAUCUUGGACAAGUCAUUUAAGCAUUGGGAAACUUAUUCUCUUUAUCAAUAAAAACA
rnacentral:lncRNA from 1 species